rnacentral:sRNA from 1 species
GACAGAAUGGAAUUGAACAGUCGUGUCA